GUGUCAUACGAAAGGCAAGAAGGUUAGCACUCCCAUUGACAAGGAUGGAAGAAGCCCUUAGAUCCGACAACUCGCGUUUGGUCAAAGCAUUGCCACCUAUUUUUAUGGCAUCUAACCAUUGUUUUUA
ensembl:snRNA